rnacentral:rRNA from 1 species
CCUACGGGAGGCUGCAGUGAGGAAUAUUGGUCAAUGGACGCAAGUCUGAACCAGCCAUGCCGCGUGCAGGAUGACGGCUCUAUGAGUUGUAAACUGCUUUUGUACGAGGGUAAACCCCGAUACGUGUAUCGGGUUGAAAGUAUCGUACGAAUAAGGAUCGGCUAACUCCGUGCCAGCAGCCGCGGUAAUACGGAGGAUCCGAGCGUUAUCCGGAUUUAUUGGGUUUAAAGGGUGCGUAGGCGGUUUGAUAAGUUAGAGGUGAAAUGUCGGUGCUCAACCCCGAAACUGCCUCUAAUACGGUUGGACAAGGAAAUAUUUGCGGUAGGCGGAAUGUAGGGUGUAGCGGUGAAAUGCUUA